rnacentral:rRNA from 1 species
GACGUAGGGCGCGAGCGUUGUCCGGAUUUAUUGGGCGUAAAGAGCUCGUAGGCGGUGUGUCGCGUCGGCCGUGAAAACCUGCAGCUCAACUGCAGGCUUGCGGUCGAUACGGGCAGGCUGGAGUUCGGUAGGGGAGACUGGAAUUCCUGGUGUAGCGGUGAAAUGCGUAGAUAUCGAGAGGAACACCUGCGGCGAAGGCGGGUUGCUGGGCCAGUUCGUGACGCUGAGGAGCGAAAGCGUGGGGAGCGAACAGG